UACGUAGGGGGCAAGCGUUGUCCGGAAUCAUUGGGCGUAAAGCGCGUGUAGGCGGCCAGAAAAGUCCGCUGUGAAAACUCGAGGCUCAACUUCGAGCUGUCGGUGGAAACUUUCUGGCUAGAGUCCGGAAGAGGAGAAUGGAAUUCCUGGUGUAGCGGUGAAAUGACGCAGAUAUCAGGAAGAACACCCGUGGCGAAGGCGGUCUCUGGGACGGUACUGACGCUGAGACGCGAAAGCGUGGGGAGCGAACAGG
rnacentral:rRNA from 1 species